AUGACGUGUGCGGGAGAGCCCUGGCAUCCUCUUCUCGAAGGGGUGCCGGGCACCGAAGGAGCAAGCCUCCCCGCCAAUCUCUCAGGUCCGCGUACCGCUCUCGUCCG
rnacentral:ncRNA from 2 species